rnacentral:lncRNA from 1 species
UAUAAAUAUGCUAACAAUAGUGCAGUGUAAUAUACAAGUGGCAUGGUAUGUCAAGAAAUUCUAAUAUACAGGAGGACAAAUGAUUCUGUGAAGGAGAUUUACAAGCUGACCACGUGAACAAAAGCAACUGGUUGCAAGAAGCCUUCAACUAGGUUAACUGUGAUGGAAAUCAUCACUCAAAAAAGACAACCUGAGAGCUUUUCCGCCAACAAACAACUGAUGCACACAUAUUAUAGAUAUAUAACAGACUGUUCUCAUUCAAAAGAUGAAUGAUACUUUUUACUCAUGAAGAUUAUAUCAAACUCCAGGUGUUGGCCCUUGUAGUAUUGAGCUUAAUCAUCUUCAGGCUCUACCGAAAAAUCUGGCUCUUCAGGCUUUUGCAACUUGGGCAUCUCUGCAUCCUUGAUCUUCUGAACCCCUUUCCUUGUGUUUGCAGCAAAUCUUGAAGCCAGUAUAGUGACACCUAGAUUCUGUUUUACUUGUGCGGUGUUUGAAUUCACCAAACUGCGGUGCUCUUCUUCCUCGUGUUCCUCCAUUUGAUAUAUUGCUUGUUCAUCAAUGAAGGACUUGUAUUCCCUCAAGCUAAGACUACUUGCCAAUGCUCUCUUCUUGAACCGGCGCCAAGCAGCCUGAAUGAAACAAGCAGCCCACGUCCUCCAAUGGUAAGAGUAGAAACGGAAUGUAUGCUGUAACUUCUUGCUGUGGAGACGUCGAAACUGAUUUGCGACAAAUUUAAGAUCCUCUGCUCUAAGUUCAAAGGCUUCAACUUCAACAAGAGCUUUAACUGUUCUCGUAGAAGAAGGCAAGUUGAGAGUAGAUUUUGGAAGCAAUGCCCAAGCAAGUAACUCUUCUCCACAGAAAUCACCAGGCUUUAAGGUAAUAGAGUUAAAGAAACCAGUUCUGCCCCCAUUUGUGGUUGAGCUUUCAAGUCUCCCUCUGAUGAUAAAAAGCAUCUCGGUAACUGGAUCUCCUUCUCUGACAAUGUAUGUGCCUUGAGUACUCAAGGAUGAUACCAAUCGCUCGCAUAUUGCAUCAAGUAGUUGAUCAUCCAUUUGUGAGAAAAAGGGAACCUGUAAUUGGUAGAGAAAGUCAUUACAUGGUGUGUGUGUGUCAUAAACUACAAUAAACUAUUAUAGUUCAA